AUACGUAGGGUGCAAGCGUUAAUCGGAAUUACUGGGCGUAAAGCGUGCGCAGGCGGUUUUGUAAGACAGAGGUGAAAUCCCCGGGCUCAACCUGGGAACUGCCUUUGUGACUGCAAGGCUAGAGUGCGGCAGAGGGGGAUGGAAUUCCGCGUGUAGCAGUGAAAUGCGUAGUUAUGCGGAGGAACAACGAUGGCGAAGGCAAUCCCCUUGGCCUUUACUGACGCUCAUGCACGAAAGCGUGGGGAGCAAACAGGAUUAGAUACCCUGGUAGUCCACGACCUAAACGAUGUCAACUGGUUGUUGGGUCUUCAUUGACUCAGUAACGAAGCUAACGCGUGAAGUUAACCGCCUGGGGAGUACGGCUGCAAGGUUGAAACUCAAAUGAAUUGACGGGG
rnacentral:rRNA from 1 species